rnacentral:rRNA from 1 species
CGUCACACCAUGGGAGUGGSUUGCAAAAGAAGUAGGUAGCUUAACCUUCGGGAGGGCGCUUACCACUUUGUGAUUCAUGACUGGGGUGAAGUCGUAACAAGGUAACCGUAGGGGAACCUGCGGUUGGAUCACCUCCUUA